UACGGAGGAUGCAAGCGUUAUCCGGAAUUAUUGGGCGUAAAGCGUCCGCAGGUGGCUAUGUAAGUCUGCUGUUAAAGAGUGAGGCUCAACCUCAUAAAAGCAGUGGAAACUACAUGGCUAGAGUGCGUUCGGGGCAGAGGGAAUUCCCAGUGUAGCGGUGAAAUGCGUAGAGAUUGGGAAGAACAUCAGUGGCGAAAGCGCUCUACUGGACCUUAUCUGACAUUGAGGGACGAAAGCUAGGGGAGCGAAUGGG
rnacentral:rRNA from 1 species